UUUCGGGCUCUGUGCAAUCGCGGCCCGCGAACCCCGCCAGGGCCUGACGGCAGCAACGGUAACGGUCACUGCGAUGUGCCGCAGAUCACCCGGAACCU
rnacentral:SRP_RNA from 1 species